rnacentral:rRNA from 1 species
UCGAGGAUCUUCGGCAAUGGGCGCAAGCCUGACCGAGCGACGCCGCGUGCGCGAUGAAGGCCUUCGGGUUGUAAAGCGCUGUCGAGGGGGAGGAAGGCCCGCAAGGGCUUGACCUAUCCCUGGAGGAAGCACGGGCUAAGUUCGUGCCAGCAGCCGCGGUAAGACGAACCGUGCGAACGUUGUUCGGAUUCACUGGGCUUAAAGGGCGCGUAGGCGGAUGGCCAAGUCAGGGGUGAAAUCUUUCGGCUUAACCGGAAAACAGCCUUUGAUACUGGUAAUCUUGAGGGAGGUAGGGGCAGGUGGAACUUCCGGUGGAGCGGUGAAAUGUGUUGAUAUCGGAAGGAACGCCGGUGGCGAAAGCGACCUGCUGGAUCUCUUCUGACGCUGAGGCGCGAAAGCUAGGGGAGCGAACGG